rnacentral:rRNA from 1 species
UACGUAGGGGGCAAGCGUUGUCCGGAUUUAUUGGGCGUAAAGAGCGUGUAGGCGGCCAUACAGGUCAGCUGUGAAAACUCGAGGCUCAACCUCGAGACGUCGGUUGAAACCGUAUGGCUAGAGUCCGGAAGAGGAGAGUGGAAUUCCCGGUGUAGCGGUGAAAUGCGCAGAUAUCAGGAGGAACACCGGUGGCGAAGGCGGUUCUCUGGGCAUUACCUGACGCUGAGGAGCGAAAGUGUGGGGAGCGAACAGG